rnacentral:tRNA from 1 species
UCCCUAGUGGUCUAGAGGUAAAGGCUCUGCACUCCCAGUGCAGGGGCCCCAGGUUCAAUCCCUGGUCAGGGAA